rnacentral:lncRNA from 1 species
UCUCUGAUUACAGUUCAGGAAGCCAGCUGCAGUUGUCGAUGUGAGGAGCAGGAGUAGCUGAGGAAAACUUCAUUUUCACGGACAACCCACGCCACCUCUUUCCAAAGUUGUUCUGCAUAAUAUUGACCCGUUGUCACCGCCCGCCCUAUAAAGGACCUUGACCGCUCUUCGGAUGUACCCGUAUGGCUAUAUUUGUUUUAGAGACCAUACACGUCCACGAAUUGUGUCCAUACAGAUUUUCGCAGGAUACGAAUUUAGUGGGAAAAAGAGACGCGGCAACCACAGAAUGAAGGUGAGAAAGAAGAGGGCGUCACUCGAAACUAACUUCAUCCACAGAAAUGCAGCGAACUAAUAAAGCCCGUUUAGUGAGGGCUUGUUGCUGGGCGAGUUGAUGAAACUUGCCAACGUGAUUGGUCGGUAUAAGGUGAUCUCUAGGCGAGACUUCUGAGGCUUAAGAAGCGGUACCCGUUGGGGCUGUCUUCAAAUCUUGGACUUGGAUAUUCUUAAGGUGACGAAGUGGCGUCGAUGUCAUUAAAAUCCGCAGCAGCG